GAAGAAAAAGGUACCUGGGGAAGAACCUCUCAUUCUUAUGCAAAUGGAUUCCUCCAAGAGGAAGAGACUUAAGGUGGGGAAUGCAGGCCAGCCUGCCACCUGGGGCCUUUAGGCCAUAGCCACCAUUCACCCAUUCAUCCUGUGGUCACCUGCAGCUGUUGGGGUGUGGUGGUGCCUGGUUUCCUCUACCCUCAUAAGAAGUCCAAGGAAAAAAAGGCUUAGAAGCAAAAGGGUAAAAGAUCUUUUGGUCCGCAUAUCACUCACCUUUUCUCAUGCCCCAUGUUUGGGCACCAAAAUGAUGCAGAACUUUGCUCCUUCAUUCAGCUAAAAUCAGGUUCUUAUCACAUGACCAGGAAAGAUAAGGCACACGGACACACUGAAGGGUGACUAGAGUGGAAUAUAUUGGGUGAAAAGGAAAAAAGUAAAAAAAAAAAAAAAAAAAACCCUCAGCAAAGUGAGAGGGGAUGCUGACAGCAGGCUUCCAUCUCAUAGAAUGAUUUACAGGCCACCACACAGGAGCUGAUGAGGCCAGGCUUCUCACUCCCUGUACAAGGCACGAACUUCCCAUGGCUUCACCCCAUUCUUCCAGUGCACAGGGUCCAUAAAACUACAGCCUCCCCUUGUCUGGGCUACCUCAACAAUGAGGACUACCACAUCUGCGCCAACCCUCCUGAUCCCUGAACCAGUGCACCUGUUCCAUGGGGCAAAAUGGAAAAGGCCCUUUCUCUUAUUUUAGCUUCUUGCUUUUACUAUCAAGGUGUUUUCGCAUCUUGAAAACAUGUUUAUGUUUAGUAUGCCCAUCUGCCUGUCCUUCCGUGAUAUUUUUUUCUGGAUACAAAGAUCUAAAUUAAACACUGCCAUUCCUCACUUCACAGAACUUGGAUCAGAAUAUUCACAUGAGAUACAGAAACAGCACAGGAAGGAAAAUUCCAAGAGGAGACUAACAGUUUCCCUGAUUUGAGGAAAUAAAAUUGAAAGUCCAGAGUGAUCAAGUCAUUGAAGCACAAUGAGAAACGUUUGGAGAUGUGCAGAAGUUGUCCUUGGAACAUUAAAUGAGUGCAUAUCUGCACAUACCUGAGGGAAAACCACUCCUGAUUUGGUAUUAAACUACCCAAAAGGAUUAGUAAUAGCUGUGUUCAUUGCUGAUGUAGAGUUAGAUAUAGUGCCUUUUUCUAUAAGUCAGACUGGAAAAGCUCUACAUUCAUAGGGUGUUUUCUCAGCAGUGAGAAACAAUAAGCCCUAGACUCAGGACUAUUCCAUUAGUAUCCAUAAAACCUUAAAAACCAAGACUCGGCUUUCAAUUUUGCUCCAGGUAACCUUACUACAUCACAGUUGAAAGCUCAAGAAUAGAGAAAUAAAAAAUGUCUACCAGGCAACAAAGCAAAAUUCAUGAUAUCUACCAUCCCAUCAAAAGUUCUAAAAAGCAAAAAACUGUGACUUACAAUACGGCAAUAAACUAAUCAAGUGAAACUGACAUAGACUUGGCAUAAAUGUUAGAUUUACCAGACAAGGAUACAAAGAGUUAUUAAAACUGAUUUUCAUAUGUUCAAUUAAAACAUGACAUGGAAGAGAAAGAGAGGUGCAGAGAUGGCAAUGGCGUCAAUGUUUCCCUCCGUUUUAAGCAAAAGUGCCGAAGCAAGAGUCUAGACCUGGGGCACAGGAGGGUGCCUUAUCAUGUAGCUUUUAUCUGCCCCAAUGCUGCCCUUCACCAGCCAUUAACUUCCCAGCACUGUGCUCAUGGCAGCCUGCAGUUGCAGUCCCCGCCCUUUCAUCACAGUAAAUAGAAACCAGCAGCGUGAUAUAAGCAAGGUGGCAGACUGCAAGGUUCUAGGCCUCAACCACCCCCACAUCCCCAAUAAAAACAAUGAGUUAACAACUGUUUGUGCACCAAAGUAGCUCUGGGAGUGCUCCAGAGUGCAAUUAAAAAGCUGCAGCAACCCAGGAAAAUAAGGAACUGAGAACAGCCACUUAGAAAAGUGUAGAAGAGAUUUUACCCACAUUACCCCGUCUGCCAGACUGACACAGCUCAAUGCCAAAGAGAAUCCCCUCAGCCAUGACUUCCUCCAUGGGAGAAAACGAGAGCAGAAAACCCUCAGCAGCUCUUGCAACCACUGUAGACCCACACAGCCACUGCGGCAGAGCAUCCCAUAAUUUUGGCCACUGCAAACCCUAGCUAGUAGAUCUGCACAGAGACCAUCUAACUGCACUCCCCUGGAACUGAAGCCACUGCACUUCCCAGCCCUGGGGCAGCCACACAUCACUCAGACCACGAGCCACCAUGCACCCAUUGGACCCCAUCACUGCCAUAAGCCCUACCAGCCUGGUCCUCUCAUGUCCAACUAUUUUUGAAGGUUUUUCCCCACCAAAGCCAGCCUGUAAAGUCUAGAGGAAGGGACUUUUUUCUUCAAAUGCACAGAAACAAAUGGAUGACUACAAUAAGGAAAAACAGGGAAACAAGACACCACAAAAAGAGCACAGUAAAUUUCCAGUAGCCAACCACAGAGAAAUAGAAAUCUAUGAAUUACACUCAGAAAAUUAUUUUAAAGAAGCUUAGCAAAUUAUUAGAGUGUACAAACACCUCAGUGAAAUUAGGGAAAACAAUACAUAAAGAAGAUGAGAAGUUUAACAAAGAGAUAAAAAUCGUAAGAACUAAUAAGAAAUUCUGGAGCUGAAAAAUAUAAUGAAUAAAAUAAAAAAAUAAAAUACAGAGCUUCAACCAGCAAACUCAAAAACAAACUAUUUGAAAUUAUCCAGACAGAGGAGAAGAAGUUAAAAGAAAAAUGUGAAGAAAGCCUUUGGGAUCUAUGAGAUUCCAUCAAGUGAAGCAAUAUACCUAUUAUGGAAAUCCUAGAAGGAGAAGAGAGAAAGAAAGAGAGAUAAAGGUUAUUUUAAAAAAAUGAAAACUUUAAAAAUCUCUAAAAGAAAAUAGACAUCCUGAUUCAAGCAGCCCAAAGCCCUACACAUAGUUUGAUGAUAAAGAGGUCUACACUGAGACACAUUAUAAUCAAAUUGCCAAAACUCAAAGCCAAAGAGUUUUGUAUACAGCAAGACAAAAGUCACUCAUCACAUGCAAAGAAGCCCUCAUAAGACCAUCAGUGGACUUCUCAGCAGAAACCUUUCAGGCCACAAUAGAGAGGAAUCAUGUAUUUGAAGUAGUUAAAUAAAGACCUACCAACAACAAAUAAUAUGCUUGUCAAAACUAUCAUUUAAACAUGAAGAAAAUAAAAUAUUUCCCAGGCAAACAAAAACUAAGAAAUUUCAUCACCACUAGACCUGCCUUAAAAGAAAUGUUUAAGAAAGUAUUUCAACUUGAAAAGAAAA
rnacentral:lncRNA from 10 species